GAAGAUUUAAAAGGAGAGUUUAGGAAUUAAUUUUCUUCCUGAAAUCCUAUUGACACUAAAGAAAUUGGCAGUGAAUGGUGGUCAAACUGCAAUUUCCAUUUAUUAUGGUGGCUGCUUGUUUGCAAUGGGACAUGGUGAACACUGGCUGGGAGCUUUGAUUAGAAACUUGAACUCAAUUCGGAUUAAAAAAAAAUCAUAAAAAUAGGCCUAAGAACAAAAUAGUUAAAAAAUUGAUAUGGGGACACAAGGUUGCUAGUUGCUAAGUAAAUGUCACAUCAAUCACAUGAACACCAAGAAGGCUACAGUUGACACUUGACAAUGUAUGCCAAGUUGGAAUUUUAAGUGCAAUAGGAGGGAUUUAUAGGAUAAAUAAUGGGGGAAAAAGUCCUUGAAGUCAUAUUGUAAUAUGUGUAAUCAUAGGGUCUGUUUUAGAACUUUUCUGAAAAAUUAAUUGGUCAACUUUAUAUAGAAAAAAAGUUGUGACUACUAUAAUUUUAAUAAUUCAUCUGUUAUGUUCCAUGUUCUAAC
rnacentral:misc_RNA from 1 species